CAGAGCCGCCACCGUGCGUUAUUUAUCCCAAAAGAGGGAAAGGAAACGCUCGAAGUAAACCUGGGAAAAGCAUGGUCUCACGACCAAAGAGAAUGGGAUCGGGAGUCGGUUAUGCGAAGGGAAGGUAUUAGCACCCCUACACAUCCGUCGUACUCGACGGGAUCCACGCUCUAAAAGAAAGAAAAGGUUGCUAAAACAAAC
rnacentral:lncRNA from 1 species